AACCUCCGCAAUGUACGAAAGUGCGACGGGGGGAUCCCAAGUGUUAUGCUUAAAGGUAUGACUUUUCAUUAGUGUAAAAAGCUUUUAGAAUAAGAGCUGGGCAAGACCGGUGCCAGCCGCCGCGGUAACACCGGCAGCUCGAGUGGUAGCUGUUUUUAUUGGGCCUAAAGCGUUCGUAGCCGGUUUAAUAAGUCUUUGGUGAAAGCUUGUAGCUUAACUAUAAGAAUUGCUGGAGAUACUAUCAGACUUGAAGUCGGGAGAGGUUAGAGGUACUACCGGGGUAGGGGUGAAAUCCUAUAAUCCUGGGAGACCGCCUGUUGCGAAGGCGUCUAACUGGAACGGUUCUGACGGUGAGGGACGAAAGUUAGGGGCGCGAACCGGAUUAGAUACCCGGGUAGUCCUAACUGUAAACGAUGCGGACUUGGUGUUGGGUGGCUUUGAGCUGCUCCAGUGCCGAAGGAGCUGUUAAGUCCGCCGCCUGGGAAGUACGGUCGCAAGACUGAAACUUAAAGGAAUU
rnacentral:rRNA from 1 species